rnacentral:rRNA from 1 species
CAACCCUUAUUGCUAGUUACCAUCAUUGAGUUGGGGACUCUAGCGAGACUGCCAGUGAUAAACUGGAGGAAGGUGGGGAUGACGUCAAAUCAUCAUGCCCCUUAUGACCUGGGCUACAAACGUGAUACAAUGGCUGAAACAAAGGGCAGCGAAGCAGUGAUGUGGAGCGAAACCCAAAAAAGCAGUCUCAGUUCGGAUUGAAGUCUGCAACUCGACUUCAUGAAGUCGGAAUCGCUAGUAAUCGCGGAUCAGAACGCCGCGGUGAAUACGUUCUCGGGGUUU